rnacentral:rRNA from 1 species
GUGGGGAAUAUUGCGCAAUGGGCGAAAGCCUGACGCAGCGACGCCGCGUGAGGGAUGAAGGUUUUCGGAUCGUAAACCUCUGUCAGAAGGGAAGAAACUACAUUGUGCUAAUCAGCAGUGUACUGACGGUACCUUUAAAGGAAGCACCGGCUAACUCCGUGCCAGCAGCCGCGGUAAUACGGAGGGUGCAAGCGUUAAUCGGAAUUACUGGGCGUAAAGCGCACGUAGGCUGUAGUGUAAGUCAGGGGUGAAAUCCCACGGCUCAACCGUGGAACUGCCUUUGAUACUGCACAACUUGAAUCCGGGAGAGGGUGGCGGAAUUCCAGGUGUAGGAGUGAAAUCCGUAGAUAUCCGGAGGAACACCGGUGGCGAAGGCGGCCACCUGGACAGGUACUGACGCUGAGGCGCGAAAGCGUGGGGAGCAAACAGGAUUAGAAACCCUGGUAGUCC